rnacentral:rRNA from 1 species
AACGCGUAGAUAAUCUGCCCUUAGGUAGGGAAUAACACACCGAAAGGUGUGCUAAUACCGUAUGAUAUUUUUUCUCCACCUGGAGAGUAAAUCAAAGGCUUCGGCCGCCAAAGGAUGAGUCUGCGUCCCAUUAGCUUGUUGGUAAGGUAACGGCUUACCAAGGCGACGAUGGGUAGCUGGUCUGAGAGGAUGAUCAGCCACACUGGGACUGAGAUACGGCCCAGACUCCCACGGGAGGCAGCAGUGAGGAAUAUUGCACAAUGGACGAAAGUCUGAUGCAGCCACCCCGCGUGCAGGAUGAAGCCCUUGCGGGUGUAAACUGCUUUUAGGUGAGACGAGCACUACUGUUUUGCAGUAGUUCGACGGUAUCGCCAGAAGAAGCUCCGGCUAACUCCGUGCCAGCAGCCGCGGUAAUACGGAGGGGGCGAGCGUUGUCCGGAAUCACUGGGCGUAAAGCGCGUGUAGGCGGGAUAGCAAGUCUGUGGUUAAAUACUGGGGCUCAACCCCACGUCUGCCAUGGAAACUACUAUUCUCAAUAUGGGAGAGGGAAAUGGAAUUCCUGGUGUAGCGGUGGAAUGCGUAGAUAUCAGGAAGAACACCGGUUGCGAAGGCGAUUUCCUGGUCCAUUAUUGACGCUGAGACGCGAAAGCAUGGGUAGCAAACAGGAUUAGAUACCCUGGUAGUCCACGCCCUAAACGAUGAUUACUAGGUGCUGGGAGAUUCGACCCUUUCAGUGCCGCAGCUAACGCAUUAAGUAAUCCGCCUGGGGAGUACGAUCGCAAGGUUGAAACUCAAAGGAAUUGACGGGGGCCCGCACAAGCGGUGGAGCAUGUGGUUUAAUUCGAUGCAACGCGAAGAACCUUACCUGGGCUUGAACUGCAGUGGAAAACUCUUGAAAAAGAGUCCUCCUUCGGGACCGCUGUAGAGGUGCUGCAUGGCUGUCGUCAGCUCGUGUCGUGAGAUGUUGGGUUAAGUCCUGUAACGAGCGCAACCCUUACCGUUAGUUGCCAUCAGGUUAUGCUGGGCACUCUAGCGGGACUGCCGGCGUUAAGCCGGAGGAAGGCGGGGAUGACGUCAAGUCCUCAUGGCCCUUACGUCCAGGGCUACACACGUGCUACAAUGGAUGGUACAAACGGUCGCAAUACCGCGAAGUGGAGCUAAUCUGAAAAAACCAUCCUCAGUUCGGAUUGUAGUCUGCAACUCGACUACAUGAAGCCGGAAUCGCUAGUAAUCGUGGAUCAGCACGCCACGGUGAAUACGUUCCCGGGCCUUGUACACACCGCCCGUCACACCAUGGGAGUCGGGGGUACCCGAAGUCGUGGUUGUCCCACGCCGAAGGUAAACUUGAUGACUGGGGUGAAGUCGGAACAAGGUA